AACGAACGCUGGCGGCGUGCCUAACACAUGCAAGUCGAACGAGAAAGGGGCUUCGGCUCCGAGUAAAGUGGCGCACGGGUGAGUAACCCGUGGGUAACCUGCCUCUAAGAUUGGUAUAACUCCUCGAAAUAUGCGCUAAUACCGAAUAAGACCACAGUUCCCGCUGGAACAGGGGUCACAGGUAUCCUCUUCUUGCAAUCUAUCACUUCGAGAUGGGCCUGCGCACCAUUAGCUAGUUGGUCGGGUAACGGCCUACCAAGGCAAGAUGGUUAGCUGGGCGGGGGGGAUGAUCAGCCAAACUGGAACUGAGAAAAGGGCCAGACUCCUACGGGAGGCAGCAGUGGGGAAAAUUGCGAAAUGGGCGAAAGCUUGAAGCAGGAAAGGCGCGUGAGGGAUGAAGGCCUUCGGGUCGUAAAGCUCUGUCGGGAGGAACGAAAGCGCCUGAGGUUAACAGCCUCGGGAGGUGACGGUACCUUCAAAGGAAGCACCGGCUAACUCUGUG
rnacentral:rRNA from 1 species